GAACUUCAAGAAAAGCUUCACAGUCGAAGUGGCUUGAGCCAUCUUGGAAGACAAGAAAAGUUGUGCUCUGGCGCCUACCAUGAGCCUUUGCAUAUUCAUCAUAUUACAGAAAAUGGAGGACUGUACAAAAGACCGUUUAAUGAAGCUUUUGAAGAAACACCCAUGCUAGUUGCUGUGCUCACAUACGUGGGCUAUGGUGUACUCACCCUCUUUGGAUAUCUUCGAGAUUUCUUGAGGCAUUGGAGAAUUGAAAAGUGCCACCAUGCAACAGAAAGAGAAGAACAAAAGGACUUUGUGUCCUUGUAUCAGGAUUUUGAAAACUUCUAUACAAGGAACCUCUACAUGAGGAUCAGAGACAACUG
rnacentral:lncRNA from 1 species